AUAAACAUCUCCUGGAGAUCUUGUUAAAAUACAGAUUCUGAUUCUGGGGCCUGAGAUUCUGUAUUUCUUACAAGCUCCCAAAUAUAGCAGU
rnacentral:pre_miRNA from 1 species